rnacentral:rRNA from 1 species
UACGGAGGGUGCAAGCGUUAUCCGGAUUCACUGGGUUUAAAGGGUGUGUAGGCGGGUGUUUAAGUCAGUGGUGAAAUCUCCAGGCUCAACCUGGAAACUGCCAUUGAUACUAUUCAUCUUGAAUUCUGUUGAGGUGGGCGGAAUAUAUCAUGGUAGCGGUGAAAUGCUUAGAUAUGAAUAUAGAACACCGAUUGCGAAGGACAGCUCACUAAACAGCGAUUGACGCUGAGGCAACGAAAGCGUGGGGAUCAAACAGG